rnacentral:lncRNA from 1 species
CCUCCUGGAGCACGGGAAAGAGGUGGACACUGGCUACAGGAUGGAGAAGCUUGCUGCCGCCCGCCUGUUCCAGCCACACCGCCCGCCUCCGGGCCGAGUCCAGGCUGCUGCCCACCGAGGCUCGGGACGCGGAGCCCGGGGAGCGGCGCCUUGGGGCGGCUCCAGCCCUGCGCUACGCCCGUCCCGGCCAUGAGCAGCGCUGGCUCUGCAGGACGCACCCAUCACCUUGCUCGGAGCAGCGAGGGACGAGGCGCUGGUAUCGCCGGCGCCCGUGACCGGCAUCUGUCAGGCGACCCGGCCGCGGGUGCUCCAUGCGGACGCCCCCAAGAUCGCACCGGCUGGGGACCGUGGGCCCCUGGCCGCAGCCCCCCGGGAGGUGCUCUCGCCCGCGGCCCGUGCGCUUCCUCCCGCCGAUCUCAUUUCCUGUCCUGCCCGCGGUCAGGAGGGCGCUGCACACGGAGCCACCCCUCGGCGGAGGCCGGGACUACGCGCAGAACCGCGCUGCUCCCGUGGACCAAGCCACGGACUGAGCCUGAGCACGGCGGCCCCUUUCCCGCCCGCAG